rnacentral:lncRNA from 1 species
CCCUCACAAGGUCCAACUUCAAACCAAAAUAUUUACAGGAUAUAAAGAGUUUAUGUGUUGAAUUACCUACCAAAUUAAAGUUCUUUGAAUCUAGUUUCCAGUGAAGCUAACCGCUCGUCGAUUCGAGCACUAUAUAGAAGUUAUAUAUGUUUUUGUACCCUAACUCGGAUUCUAAUUUAUUUUCUUCAUCUCUCUCACCACGAAAUUGAUCUCCACAGCACCCAAUCUUGUUUUUCUCUCCUCGAAGCUCAAGGUAAUUGGAUCCUGAGCUUAAGCAUGGUUAUUCCUCAUUAAUCACAUGACCCUAUUGUUGAUUCUUUCCCGAUUAUAGCUAAUCGAAGGUGUCUUCUGAGGGAAUUUUGUGAAAGGAACUUUAAGAUACUUGACAUCCAAGGUAAGACUUCUUUUCCCUCUUCAUCUAUGAGCCCGUAGGAUAUAUCUAACACGUAUUUCGAUAAGGGCUCACAGGAUGGUGAUGGAAAGUCGUGAGUCCAAGUUUUAGUGAUUAUAUAGUUGUAUAUAGGGCUGUUUUGUGUGAUGUGAAGAUUGGGAAGUAUUGUUUGAUCUCGUAAGAGGUUUAUGAUAUUGUUGUAAGGCGGGCGGUAAGCAACCGUGUGGAGAAACGCCAUUGAUUUGAGGGCCUUCAAGUGUUUGAUGUAUUGCUAAUAUGACCUAAGCUUGUUGUUUAGCUAAAAUUGUUAGCUUUGUUAUUUGUCAUUAUUGUAGAUUAACGCUUUAACAGAAAUGUUUAGUCGCCAUAGUAGUUCUAAGUCGAGUACCGAGGUAUGUAAGGGUAGAUCCUUCUUGUCCUGCUAGGACAUGACCCCCCAAUCACAUGUUAUCUCUUGUAUGAGUUCCUGAGGUCCUAGAUAAUAAAACAACGUGAGUUAACAUGUUAUAUGCUUCAUGAUUAUGCACUUAUUAUAGUUAUUUCACUCUUUACUGUUAUGAAUGUCAGAGUAAAGUCCUCCUGAGAAUUGAGUCACUAUGAAUUCCAUUGCUAUAUAAGCCUAAAGUAUAAAUGGAACAAUGCGUACUUCCAUGUCUAAUAUCUUCCAUUGUCAUUACUCUUAAUGAAUAUAAUAUCUCAUCUUUUUUUUUUCCUUUUUUGUUCUGAAGCAUUGGCGCCAAGAAGAUCAAAUAUGUGCACAAAAUUUGAGGGAAUACUGCAGAACAGGAAGUGGUGG